rnacentral:rRNA from 1 species
GCAUAGCUGAGUAGCUGCGUUCGGAAGGGAUAAACGCUGAAAGCAUCUAAGCGUGAAACCUGCCUCAAGAUGAUGUAUCUUUUAAGACUCCUCAAGGAUUAUGAGGUAGAUAGGUCGGGAGUGUAAGCGCCGUGAGGCGUUCAUCUGACCGAUACUAAUAAGUCGUAAGUUUAUCUUC